rnacentral:rRNA from 1 species
CUUGGGGGAGGCAGCAAUGGGGAAUAUUGCACAAUGGGGGAAAGCAUGAUGCAGCAAUGCCGCAAGAGCGAUGAAGGCCGUAUGAAAGUAAAGCUCCUUAGCGAGGAUGAUAAUGACGUACGAGAGAAGAC